rnacentral:rRNA from 1 species
UUUAGUAGAGGGGAGUGGAAUUUCAGUGUAGCGGUGAAUGCGUAGAGAUUUGAAGGACACCAGUGGCGAGGCGACUCCCUGGACUGAACUGACGCUGAGUACGAAAGCGUUGGUAGCAAACGGGAUUAGAUACCCCGGUAGUCCACGCGUAAACGAUGUCAACUAACUGUUGGGGCCUUUAAGUCUUAGUGGUGGAGCUAACGUAUUAAGUUGACCGCCUGGGGAGUACGGCCGCAAGGCUAAAACUCAAAUGAAUUGACGGGGGCCCGCACAAGCGGUGGAGCAUGUGGUUUAAUUCGAUGCAACGCGAAGAACCUUACCUACCCUUGACAUCCAGAGAAUCUGUUAGAGAUAGUAGAGUGCCUUCGGGAACUCUGAGACAGGUGCUGCAUGGCUGUCGUCAGCUCGCGUCGUGAGAUGUUGGGUUAAGUCCCGUAACGAGCGCAACCCUUAUCCUUAGUUGCCAGCACAUAAUGGUGGGAACUCUAGGGAGACUGCCGGUGAUAAACCGGAGGAAGGUGGGGACGACGUCAAGUCAUCAUGGCCCUUAUGGGUAGGGCUACACACGUGCUACAAUGGCCGGUACAGAGGGCUGCAAACUUGCAAAAGUAAGCGAAUCCCAGAAAGCCGGUCUUAGUCCGGAUUGGAGUCUGCAACUCGACUCCAUGAAGUUGGAAUCGCUAGUAAUCGCGAAUCAGAAUGUCGCGGUGAAUACGUUCCCGGGCCUUGUACACACCGCCCGUCACACCAUGGGAGUGGGCUGCAAAAGAAGUGGGUAGGCUAACCUUCGGGGGGCCGCUCACCACUUUGUGAUUCUUGACUGGGGUGAAGUCGUAACAAGGUAACC